CUUCAAUUGAGUUCAGCUAGGAAACUCACUGAAUCAGACCAACAACUUAAAUUUCAAUACCACAAAGGCCCUCUUCUAACCGGUAAAAUUUCAGUAAACCUCAUUUGGUAUGGAAAAUUCAAACCAUCUCAACGAGCGAUUAUAACUGAUUUCAUAACCUCGUUAUCUUCUCCCAUAAAACCAACCACCGCAUCACAACCAUCAGUUGCCACGUGGUGGAAAUCAACUGAAAAAUAUUACCAACUCACUAACAACAAGAAAUCAGUUAACCUAGCUCUCUCACUAGGUUCUCAAAUUCUUGACGAGAAAUACUCUUUAGGAAAAUCUCUCACAACUAACCAAAUCCUUAAUCUCGCAUCAAAAGGACAACAACAAAACGCCAUCAACGUUGUCCUAACAGCUGCUGAUGUGUUAGUUGACGGUUUUUGUUCAAGUAGGUGUGGAACCCAUGGUUCUUCUUAUGGUGCACGCGUAAAUGGAAAGAGAAACAAGUUCGCGUACAUUUGGGUUGGAAAUUCGGAGACACAAUGUGCUGGUCAAUGCGCGUGGCCAUUUCACCAACCAAUUUAUGGUCCACAAAGUGCACCGUUGGUUGCACCAAAUAACGAUGUGGGUCUUGACGGAAUGGUUAUAAAUGUUGCUAGUCUUUUAGCUGGAACCGUAACAAAUCCUUUUGGUAAUGGUUAUUUUCAAGGACCUAAAGAAGCUCCUUUGGAAGCUGCUUCGGCUUGCACCGGUGUUUAUGCUAAAGGAGCUUAUCCUGGUUAUGCUGGGGACCUUUUGCUGGACAAAACAAGUGGUGCUAGCUAUAAUGCAAAUGGUGAUAAUGGAAGGAAGUAUUUGUUGCCUGCUAUUGUUGACCCUAAAACCUCGGCUUGUUCUACAUUGGUAUAAAGUAAGAGUGUUUAGUUGUUAGGCAAUGAGAGAUUCUUUGAUUUGUUAAUUCAAUUAGUUGUUAUAGCCUCGAUAAUUCUUUGAUUCUUUGUAAUUUUAAUAAAUAAAUAAUAUCAAUAUUAUUAUGUCCUCCAUAAAUAAUGUUAUUGAAUGAAGCAAAGAUAUCAUAAUUUUACCAUUAUAGUUUUAUUAUAUACUGAUGCAUUAUAAAUAGAAAGUGAAAAAGAAAAAGAGCAAUGCUAUAAAUAAAUAGUGAAAAAUCUUGAGUUGAGAGUUAUGAUGAGAUUUGCAUCAAGCCCUAUAGUUGGCAAGUUGACUAUGAAUGUGACUAAUACACCGUUCAAUUCCAAAUCAAGCCAAGCUACUUAAUAUUAAAUUUAAUUUUUUUCCAUUUUUUCCUUUUUAAAAUAAAGGGUUGGGAGUGUUGAAGCACAUAGUAUAAAUUAAAUGGUAAAAUUGAAAAAGAAAUAGUUAAUAUUAUACUGAAAAUUGAAGUAAUACUCGAUUUUAGAUACAAUGAGUAUUUUGAAUGAUUAAAUAAUUCAAUUUCUUGAUGAAAUCAUUGUAAGAUCGUGUAAACUAAUUUCAUAUUUCGUCAUCGUGAGUUUAACUCAGUUGUUAUGUACAAUGCAUAAUAUAUAGAAGGUUUGUGGUUCGAAUCCCGACCACAAUUAAAAAAAGAAAACUAAUUUCAUAUUUCCAUAAACAACCCUUAAAAUAUUGCUAAAAAAGUAAAUAUGUAUGGAUAAAUGGCGUUAAUUUCAUAAAUCCAACUUCAACUAAUGCAUAUGCAAUGGUAAAAUAAUAAUUUUUUGGUCUAUGUUCUCUCUCUUUUUUUUUUUUUUUUUUUAUAUAUAACAAAGGUUGCCUUUUCUUGCCAUAAAAUAUAAUAAAGAUUAUCUUUAAAAAAAAAUUUGUUAAGGGUUUAGUUUAAAAUUAUAAUCUUAUCAUUAUUGUCAAUAUUAAUUUUUUAUCAAGUACGUUAGAAGUUAGAAUUUCACCUUUAAAUUGAAUAAGUCGUGAAUCCAAAAUUCAAACCUGAACCCUACGUUUAUAAUAUAAUGUCCCUAUCAAUUGAGUUAUACUCACGAAGACUCUUCAUUGUCAAUAUAACUCACAAAACAUUUCAUCAUAGUUGAUCCAUAAUAGAAUCCUCGCAAUUACUGACCAUAUUCAAUAUACAAUUACUACUAAAAAAAAGUGGAGAAUUCACCAACACCCUUUCAUUUUGGAACCUGUAGAUCAACAGACUAAUGUCAUGUUAGAGUCGAACUUGACGAUGGAUACGUCACCUAGUACAACUCAACAGUCUUUGGUGGCGGUUCAAGAAACAAAUACGAAUGCUACUCUUGGGCAUUAUGAGGCGUCAAUUGAUCCGACUCAACAAAAGGAAAUUAAUCUUGUUCAACAUUUGUUGAUUCAAAGAAAAUUGUUGUGGUACCAUUUACGCCUUAUCUUACAAAAGGUCAAAAAAAGAAAAUUAGCAAGGCAACAUAUCACAACAAAGGAUUGACCCCCAACUUAAGGCGACAACGCUCUCGAACCUCGCUCUCAUAACCGCUCGAGGGAGAGUAACCGUUGGACGACGAAUCUACCAUAUUCUCAGCAGUUUCAAAGCAAAUACUCAUCUUUGUCAACCCAAAAAACGAAGGAAAUGUACAAAAUGCAAAGGAAGAAAGGAAGUACCUUUGAAGUUCAAAGGUUUUUCAGAAAAAAGAGGCAAAACUUUGUAGAACCGUAAACCCCAGAAAUGCAGCCUAGAGAGGAAGGAUUUUCGCGCAAGUUGGUCGGAGGAAAAACUGGGAAAAGAAAACAAUACACUUCUAGGUGAAGUUUAAGAGUGAAUGCAGAAUAUCUGAAACCAUGAAGAUAAAGAGCGUAAAAGUUGGAAACAAAAAGUUUCCCUUCUUUUAUAGGCUUCAAAAGUAUCCAGAUCGACGAUUCAGAAGAGAAGAAACCUUGAAACCAAAGGUUUCUGAUUCAACGAUUAAUGGCAAUAUGACCUCGAACCACGAAGGGCACUCAAGUGGCACGCGCGUGAAGCGCAAAGGCCGGUGCGUGUGCGGGCCACGAAGCAUGCACGUGGAAAGUAAAACUAAACAACCAUCACGUUAUGAACGUUUCAGUUUGAAGCAUUAAAUGCCAACUGCUCCCACUAACUCGCAUGGGGCGCCACCUCCUCGAGGAAGGAAAAACUUCUCGCAAAUGUAAAACUACAGAGGCGCCAACAUGUGAAGGCGCCUGAUCGUAUGCCUCUCUUCACAGCUAAAAGCCAUUGCGCCUUAAAUGCAUCAACAGUUUUGGGGACAAAUGUUCUGGACCAGUUAGAAGACCAAUCUUACGUUGACACGUGGCCUGGCCUACACAGCCUUAAGGCUCUGCGCCUAAAGGAACACGCCAGCUUAAAUGCAUUGUGCCACACAGGAGCGCCCGCGAUGAUAACCUUACAUGUGUCCUCUAAUCGUCCCUAAUCACACGCCGCAAAACUCGAAGACGGUUACUCUCAACGCGCGCCUAUAUAAGGGUGACCUUGCUUCACCCCCAAGGUAUGAUUCACUUUUCACAACACCUUCUAAACACUCUUUCUCAAUUCCAUUACUGACUUGAGCGUCGGAGUGCUAACGUGUCUGAAGACACCUUUUGUCCCACUGCAAGGACUCGUCACCACCGUACCAGAAACCAUCACCGUCACAUCGGAGCACUUUCCACCACUGUUACCUCUCAUCCAUCCUCACCGGACAAAUCAAAACUUCUUCUGCAAACCUUUGAACCUUAAAACUUAUCUUAAACCUGAUGAACCCCCAAUCUCAACUCACGUAAACUUAUGAAGCAAAAAAAAAAAACACAAAUAAAGAAUAUAUAAAGAGAUCACCCAAAACAAGCGAAGAUAAAAAUUGCACAUUCUUGAUACGAGCAAAAUAAGUGCAAUUUUCUUAAAUUAUACUUCACAUAUCCCUCAUUAUAAAAUCCGUUGCAAAAAAAUUGUUUAUCCUUAAUACAUGAUUAUCCAUAAAUUUUAAGUACAUUGCUUUUUUUUUUUUCUUUUUUCUUUCUAAAUAUCAAUUAUUAAUAAGAGUUUAAUGGUGGUGGAUCGACAUUUCAAAACAUUUUUGCACACACAACCAAAAAACAUUCAGAAUUCUCACAUAAAUUAAAAAUAUUAAUUGGCGUGACGAUUUUAAAUAUUUUAAUUGAUUGUGUGCAAAAUUAUUUUGAAUUGUCGAUACACUACCAUUAAUCUCUAUUAAUAUUACCAAUCUAUCUUAGAAUAUAUUUUAAUAUAGUAACAUUGAAAAUAUUUACACAAAAAGAUAUUUAAUAAUAAUUAGAGUCGACAUUUGGAACAAAUUUAUUAUUUCUUCAACUUUUUUUUAGCACGAUUUUUAUAAGAGAUGAAUAGAAUAAAAGUGAUUGAUCAUCAAUCACGCAAAAGAAGAGUUGUUACGCUCUUCGAUGGAGAAUGGACCCAAAAGCUAGGGGCAUGCCUUGUACAAAGAAUACACAGCUUUGUCGUUUUGUUUCAUAGCUGUGCUGUUGCCUGUUACUGUCCCAAAUCAAUGAAUUCAUGCAAACUGGAAUAACAAAAUAACAACGCGUGAUAUAGCUGGCACAUCCACCACUCACUCCACUCAUCCUCCUACAUAAUUUAACUUCAACUAUAUAUAUACCUACAACUACAUCUUACAUUUCCAUCACCUCACAACAUUUCCACAUUCCCUUCUACUUCAUACUUUGUUCUAUCUCAAAAUGGCAUCUUUUAAGUUAAGUGUUAUCUUCACCCUUUUUCUCACAAUUUCACUACUUCAAUUGAGUUCAGCUAGGAAACUCACUGAAUCAGACCAACAACUUAAAUUUCAAUUCCACAAAGGCCCUCUUCUAACCGGUAAAAUUUCUGUAAACCUUAUUUGGUAUGGAAAAUUCAAACCAUCUCAACGAGCGAUCAUAACUGAUUUCAUAACCUCGUUGUCUUCUCCCAUAAAACCAAAAACCACAACACAACCAUCGGUUGCCACGUGGUGGAAAUCAACUGAAAAAUAUUACCAACUCACUAACAACAAGAAAUCAGUUAACCUAGCUCUAUCACUAGGUACUCAAAUUUUGGACGAGAAAUACUCUUUAGGAAAAUCUCUCACAACUAACCAAAUCCUUAAACUCGCAUCAAAAGGACAACAACAAAACGCCAUCAACGUUGUCCUAACAGCCGCUGAUGUGUUAGUUGACGGUUUUUGUUCAAGUAGGUGUGGAACCCAUGGUUCUUCUUAUGGUGCACGCGUGAAUGGAAAGAGAAACAAGUUCGCAUACAUUUGGGUUGGAAAUUCAGAGACACAAUGUGCUGGUCAAUGCGCGUGGCCAUUUCAUCAACCAAUUUAUGGUCCACAAAGUGCUCCGUUGGUUGCACCAAAUAACGAUGUGGGUCUUGACGGAAUGGUUAUAAAUGUUGCUAGUCUUUUAGCUGGAACCGUAACCAAUCCUUUUGGUAACGGUUAUUUUCAAGGACCAAAAGAAGCUCCUUUGGAAGCUGCUUCGGCUUGCACCGGUGUUUAUGCUAAAGGAGCUUAUCCUGGUUAUGCUGGGGACCUUUUGGUGGACAAAACAAGUGGUGCUAGCUACAACGCUAAUGGUGAUAAUGGAAGGAAGUAUUUGUUGCCUGCUAUUGUUGAUCCUAAAACUUCAGCUUGUUUUACAUUGGUAUAAAGAAUAAUUGUUUUGUUGUUAGGCAAUGAGAGAUUCUUUGAUUUAUUCAUUCAAUUAGUUGUUAUAACCUCGAAAUUAAUCUUUUAUUCUUUGAUUCUUUUUAAUCUUAAUAAAUAAAUAAUAUCAAUAUUAUUAUAUUGUCCUCCAUACAUGCAACACAUGUACAGACGGACGACGGUGCACAUGGCAUACUCUAUCCAUCUCAACGAUAAACAUUCACACAAAUCAAAUUUUAUUGAAUGAAGCAAAGAUAUCAUAAUUUUACCAUUGUAGUCUUACUAUAUAUCCUGAUGCAUAAUAAAUAGAAAGUGAAAAGAAAAAAAAAUAGAACGUGAAAAAUUGAGUUGAGAGUUAUGAUGAGAUUUGCAUGAAGCUUAUAGUUGGCCAGUUGACUAUGAAUGUGACUAAUACACCGUUCAAUUCCAAAUCAAGCUACUUAAUAUUAUUAUAAUUUUUUUUCCUUUUUUUGGUAUUAAAUUUAAUUUUUCCAUUUUUUUUUCUUUUUAAAAGAAAGAGUUGGGGAGUGUUGAAGCACAUAGUAUAAAUUAAAUGGUAAAAUUGAAAAAGAGAUAGUUAAUAUUAUACUGAAAAUUGAAAUAAUACUCGAUUUUAGAUAAACUUCUUUGGCAAAUGUCCCACUCAUAAUGUGACACAAUGAUUAUUUUGAAUGAUUUUUUUUUUUUUAAGAAAUUAUUUCAAUGACUAAAUAAUUCAAUUUCUUGAUGAUAUCAUCGUAAGUAGACAUGACAACACAACCCGUCCCCAUUGGAUCCCACCCACCCCGUCCCGAUUUUAAUGGGGAAAAGCCGAAUUGGUUAUGGGUGCGGGUUUGGAGAAAACCCGGAGUUUUAAUACGGGGGCGGGGGAUACUCACACUCGCCCUCGCCCCGUUUUUUUAAAUUACUAUUUUUAUCCUUAUUUUUUAUAGUCAUAUUACUCAUAUACCCUUCUUAAUCUUAACAUAGAAGCUUUUGUUUUAAUUAUCUUGCCACUAAACAUAUUUUUUCACGAUGAUGUUAUGAUCUCUAAUGAAUUUAGAAGCUUUUGUUAUUAGCUCUUUUUGUUAUUGUGAAAAAAUAAAAUAAAAAAUUGUCUACAAUUUUCGCGGGUGGGGUUGGGGAAAUCCGUCCCCGUUGGGGCAGGUCCGGGUGUAAAAUUUCUAUCCAGACGGGUUUGGGGGUGGGGGCGGGGCUGGGUACAAUGAAACAGGGACGGGGCCGGGUAUGUUAAAACUUGCCCCCGCCCCGUUGCCAUGUUUAAUUGUAAGAUCAUGUAAAUUAAUUUUUUUCCGUGAAUUUAGUUCAGUUGAUAAGGACAAUGCAUAAUAUAGAUAAGAUUCGAUUUUUCAGACAAAAAAAAAAAAAAAACUAAUUUAUUUCCAAAAACAACCCUUAAAAUAUUACUAAAGAAGUAAAUUUGUAUGGAUAAAUGGCGUUAAUUUCAUAAUUCCAACUUCAACUAAUGCAUAUGCAAUGGUUUAUAUAAAAAAGGUUGCCUUUUCUUGUCGAAAAAUAUAAUAGAGAUUAUCUUUAAAAAAAAAAUAAUGUUAAGGGUUCAGUUUAAAAUUAUAAUCUUUAUCAUUAUUGUCAAUAUUAAUUUUUUUAUCAAGUAGGUUAGUGUUAGAAUUUCAUCUUUAAAAUGCAUAAGUCGUGAAUCCAAAAUUCACACCAUAUCAACUAAGUUAUGCUCACGAAGACUCUUUAUUAUCAAUAUUACUCACAAAACAUUUCAUCAUAGUUGAUCCAUAAUAGAAUCCUCGCAAUUACUACCAUAUUCAAUAUACAACUACUAUUAAAAAAAAGUGAAGAAUUCACCAACACCCCUUCAUUUUGGAACCUCUAGAUCAACAGGCUAAUGCCAUGUUAGAGUCGAACUUAACGAUGGAUACGUCACCUAGUACAACUCAACAGUCUUUGGUGACGGUUCAAGAAACAGAUACGAAUGCUACUCUUAGGCAUUCUGAGGCGUCAAUUCAUCCGACUCUACAAAAGGAAAUUGAUCUUGUUCAGCAUUUGUUGAUUCAAAGAAAAAUGUUGAGGUGCCAUUUACGCAUUAUCUUACAAAAGGUCAAAAAUAGAAAAUUAGCAAGGCAACAUAUCACACCCGAUCUAUGAAUUCCCCUAUAGAACCGAAGGGUGGUUGAGCAGCCUCUUUUUCUUUUGGGCCAUUUUUUUCUUUCUUCGUUUAGUUUUUUUUUGUUUUUUUCUCUUACUUUCUUUCGGUUUUGUUUUGAGGGUUUUGGUUUAGCCCCCUCUUGUAUAGUUUCUUUCUUUUUUAUUUAUAUUAUGAGUGGGUGGCAGUGUAAGGCUUUCUUGAGAUGCCAACGGUGUUGUGAUGUCCGAAUGAUCCACUCGAAAAUCAGUUGUUAGAAUUAACAGGUCUUCAAAUCGUUCAUUUAAAAAAAAGGAAACCCGAUUUUUCAAACUCUCAUUGUUGUUUUAACUCGCUCUAUUUUAUUGAAAAAAAAUAAAAUACAUUUACACUUUGCAAGACUAUAUCUAUGUGUUUGUGUCUUGUUAGACUUUGUAGAUCUCUUGUUAUUUGUUAAUAACUUGAUAAUUUUAAUUUAUCUGUAUAUUUAUGUUUUUUUUUUUCUUCCAUGUCUUGCUAAUAUAUAAGCAUUUGUGUUUGACCAUAAAGUUUAUUAAAGAUUUUAGUAUUUUUCAAUAACAUUUUUAACUUACUAAAAUGUAUUUUCUAUUUAUAUACACGUUUAUUUGUUUUGAUAACUAUUUUAUUGGUGCAAAAUAUCUACCAAUAAUAUUAAUGAUUAUUCUCCGCUUCAGAACCUAUUUUUCAAAUUCAAGGGAUCUCCUCUCGGAACAACAUAUUUUUCAUCCACCGUGCGUGGAUCUGAGACCUUAAGAGAUCCGAGUAAAAUUCCACAAAGACCAACAUAAUGUUAGUGUGUAUAUAUUUAUUGAGUGUAGCUACCGAUAGUUGAUGCUUAUUCUGCGAAACUAGAAUUUUCAAUGACAUCUAUUUGUUUUAAUUAAUAUUACAUAUAUAGAGACUCAAUAAUAAUUUUAUGUGUUCUAAAUUUCUACAUGAUCCUAUCUUUGUUGUUUUGUCUAGUUUUCCACUCGUGCCGAAUUUAAUUGAGCAGUGUUGACAACACUUUUGUUUUAACAUUCUCUUCAACAUUUACUUUUUUAUUUGCUUAAAUCAAAUAGGUGUCACACUUUAAAAUUGAAUUACACUUGUUAUGGUCAUAUAUUAACGUCAUCCAAUAAAAAAAUAAGUGUUGAUGAGAAUGUUGAAAAUAAAGUGUCAUCAAAAUUUCUUAUUUUAAUUUGAACAUGUUGUGUUUAAAUCUCAUUUUUCACAACAAAUGUGAUGUUUUACCGAUACCCUAAUGUGUGUACGAGGGUAUGAAGGUAAGACUAAGAACUAAGAAACUAUACGGUAUAUAUACUUUAUCUCAUUUUUUGUUACAUUGCAUCAAAAACCCACAUGAUAUGUCAUGUUAGCCAUGUCAUCUAACUUAGAUUGAAAGAUGAAAUUAAAGACUAAACCAAUGGGGGCUAUUCAGAGAAAUUUAUUGGAUCAUCUUAUGUCGUUUUGUGGGUUAGGGGGUAUGUCAAAAAUGUUCGGGUGGCUCUUAACAUCAUUUGGGUUUUGGAUGUGUGGGGUUAUUUAGCACCAGAGAAAUAGACUCAAAUUCAAUCAUAAGGAGGAAUAUUUGCAAUCUUAUGCGAAAAAGUUAAGCUUUAAUCAUUUUCGUGGUUGAAAUUAAGAUAUAUUACUUUCGAUUUCGAUUAUCAUUUUUUGAGGCUUAAUCAUAUUCAUUGCCUAACUGUUCUAACUUAGCUUAUUGUAUCUUCUUUUGUUUUGUUUAUCUUGUAAAGUUAAGUCGUUUCUGAUACAUCUUGUGCUGAAAGAUUUGUUUUGGUUGGUAAUUUAUAUAUUUCAUUUUGGUCUCUUAGAAAAAACUAACAAUGGGGAUAUAGGGAUUAAAAAAAUUGUUAAAAAAACAUAGGGAUAAGAUCUAAAAUAGAGAAUUGAAUGACUAAAAUUGGCUAUUUACAUAAGUAUACGUAUGGAAGUUUUGCAAAUGUCCUUUUAACCUUAAAACUUAUCUUAACAUUGAUGAGUCUGAAUCUCAACUCUCGUAAACUUUUAUGUAAAAAAAAAAAAAAAAAAACACAAAUGGAGAAAAUAUAAAGACAUUACCUAAAACAAGUGAAGAUUAAAAUUGCACAUUCUCAAUACAAUCAAAUUAAGUGCAAUUUUCUUAAAUUAUACUUCAUAUAUCGCUAAUUAUAAGAUCUGUUUUAUUUUUAAAGGUCUAAUUAUAAGAUUUGUUACAAAAAUUUGUUUGUCCCUUAAUACAAAAGUAUCUAUAAAUUUUGGGGUAAUAGUCCCUUUGGUCCAUUAAUUUGUAAUGAGCAGUUACAAUGAUCCUUAAAUGUAUAAAAGUAUCAAAAUAGUCUAUGAUUGUGCAAUUUGUUAGUCAAAAUAGUCUUUGAUGUUAAAAUACUUCAUUAAUAUUGUCAUAUUACCCCGUCAAUAUACUUACUUAUUGUCAUAUCAGUCUUUAUAAAUACUUAAUUAUUGUCAUUUUAAUCCUUAUAUGAAAAGAGUUAUUGUGAACGUACAUUGAGAGAUUACUUUAGCGCCAGAGACCAUUUUGAGUAACAGAGUGCACAAUCAGAGACUAUUUUAAAAUUUUGAUAUAUCGAGAGACUAUUGUGACUACUCAUUACACAUUCAAGAACCAAAUGAUUAUCCCAUAAAUUUUUAAAUACAUUGAUUAUUUUUUUUCUAAAUAUCUAUUAUUAAUACAACCACUCUAUCUUAGAAUAUAAAAAAUAUUUACAUUGAAAGUAUUUAUACAACAAGAUAUUUUAUAAUAGUUAGAGACAUUUGGAACAAAUUUAUUCUUUCUUAUAACUUUUCUUAGCAUGAUUUUUAUAAGAGAUGGAUAGAAUAAAAGUGAUUGAUCAUCAAUCACGCAAAAGAAAAGUUGUUACGCUCUUCCAUGGACAAUGGACCCAAAAGCUAGUGGCAUACCUUGUACAAAGGAUACACAGCUUUGUCGUUUGGUUUCAUACAUGUGCUGUUAAUUGUCCCAAAUCUAUGAAUUCAUGCAAACUGGAAUAAUAAAAUAUCAACGCGUAAUAUAGCUGGCACAUCCUCCACUCACCCUCCAACAUAAUUUGACUUCAACUAUAUACCUUUCUAUUUUACACGUUAAUUAAUUCCUUUUAAAUACACUUUCCACUAUAUAUAUACCUACAACCCCAUCUUACAUUUCCAUCAGCACAUAACAUUUCCACAUUCCUUCUACUUCAUACUUUGUUCUAUCUCAAUACAUAUCCCAAAUGGCAUCUUUUAAGUUAAGUGCAAUCUUUACUCUUUUUCUCACAAUUUCACUACUUCAUUUAAUCUCAGCUGCUAGAAAAUUCACUGAAUCAGACCAACAACUUAAAUUUCAAUACCACAAAGGCCCUCUUCUCACCGGAAAAAUCUCAAUCAACCUCAUUUGGUAUGGAAAAUUCAAACCAUCUCAACGAGCCAUCAUAACUGAUUUCAUAACCUCCCUCUCUUCUCCUAAACAAGGAACAACCACAUCACAACCAUCCGUUGCCACGUGGUGGAAAUCAACCGAAAAAUAUUACCAACUCGCGAACAAUAAGAAAUCAGUUAACCUAGCUCUCUCACUAGGUUCUCAAAUUCUCAAUGAGAAUUACUCAUUAGGAAAAUCUCUCACAACUAACCAAAUCCUUAAACUCGCAUCAAAAGGACAACAACAAAACGCCAUCAACGUUGUCCUAACAGCCGCUGAUGUGUUAGUUGACGGUUUUUGUUCAAGUAGGUGUGGAACACAUGGUUCUUCUUAUGGUGCACUCGUAAAUGG
rnacentral:lncRNA from 1 species